rnacentral:rRNA from 1 species
AGUGGCGGACGGGUGAGUAACGCGUAGGAAUCUACCUGAUAGUGGGGGAUAGCCCGAAGAAAUUCGGAUUAAUACCGCAUAAUCUAUUCGUAGUAAAGUGGGGGACUUUCGAGCCUCACGCUAUCAGAUGAGCCUGCGUAAGAUUAGCUAGUUGGUAGGGUAAAAGCCUACCAAGGCGACGAUCUUUAGCUGGUCUGAGAGGAUGAUCAGCCACAUCGGGACUGAGACACGGCCCGAACUCCUACGGGAGGCAGCAGUGGGGAAUAUUGGACAAUGGGGGCAACCCUGAUCCAGCAAUACCGCGUGUGUGAAGAAGGCCUGAGGGUUGUAAAGCACUUUCAAUUGUGAAGAAAAGCUAGUGGUUAAUAGCCAUUAGCCUUGACAUUAACUUUAGAAGAAGCACCGGCUAACUCCGUGCCAGCAGCCGCGGUAAUACGGAGGGUGCAAGCGUUAAUCGGAAUUACUGGGCGUAAAGCGUGCGUAGGCGGUUUAUUAAGUCAGAUGUGAAAGCCCCGGGCUUAACCUGGGAACUGCAUUUGAAACUGGUCAACUAGAGUAUGGUAGAGGAAAGUGGAAUUUCUGGUGUAGCGGUGAAAUGCGUAGAUAUCAGAAGGAACAUCAAUGGCGAAGGCAACCUUUCUGACAUACUGACGCUGAGGUACGAAGCGUUGGGAGCCAACAGGAUGUAUAGCCUGGUAGUUCACGCCGU